UCCCUGGUGGUCCAGUGGUUAAGACGCUGCUCUUCCACUGCAAGGGGCACAGGUUCGAUCCCUGGUCGGGGAA